AACGAACGCUGGCGGCAGGCUUAACACAUGCAAGUCGAGCGCCCCGCAAGGGGAGCGGCAGACGGGUGAGUAACGCGUGGGAACGUACCUUUUGGUUCGGAACAACUCCGGGAAACUGGAGCUAAUACCGGAUAAGCCCUAACGGGGAAAGAUUUAUCGCCGAAAGAUCGGCCCGCGUCUGAUUAGCUAGUUGGUGAGGUAACGGCUCACCAAGGCGACGAUCAGUAGCUGGUCUGAGAGGAUGAUCAGCCACACUGGGACUGAGACACGGCCCAGACUCCUACGGGAGGCAGCAGUGGGGAAUAUUGGACAAGGGGCGCAAGCCUGAUCCAGCCAUGCCGCGUGAGUGAUGAAGGCCUUAGGGUUGUAAAGCUCUUUUGUACGGGAAGAUAAUGACUGUACCGGAAGAAUAAGCCCCGGCUAACUUCGUG
rnacentral:rRNA from 1 species